rnacentral:rRNA from 1 species
GACAGAGGGUGCAAACGUUGUUCGGAAUUACUGGGCGUAAAGCGCGCGCAGGCGGCGGUGCUGGCCCGGCGUGAAAGCCCCCGGCUCAACCGGGGAGGGUCGUCGGGGACGCACGCUUGAGGGCGGUAGGGGCUGGUGGAAUGCCUGGUGUAGUGGUGAAAUGCGUAGAGAUCAGGCGGAACACCCUGGCGAAGGCGGCCAGCUGGGCCGUCCCUGACGCUGAGGCGCGAAGGCGUGGGGAGCGAACGGG